rnacentral:misc_RNA from 1 species
GAUGAAGAACGUAGCGAAAUGCGAUAAGAAGUGUGAAUUGCAGAAUUCAGUGAAUCAUCGAAUCUUUGAACGCACAUUGCGCCCUUUGGUAUUCCUUAGGGCAUGCCUGUUCGAGCGUCAUUUAAACCUUCAAGCUAAGCUUGGUGUUGGGUGACUGUCCGCUUCACGGCGGACUCGCCUCAAAAUUAUUGGCGGCCGGUACAUUGGCUUCGAGCGCAGCAGAAACGCGAACUCGGGCCCGUCGUAUUGGCUCCCAGAAGCUAUCUUCACAAUUUUGACCUCGGAUCAGGUAGGGAUACCCGCUGAACUUAAGCAUAUCAAUAAGCGGAGGA